UACGGGGGGGGCAAGCGUUGUUCGGAAUUACUGGGCGUAAAGCGCGCGUAGGCGGCGACCUUUGUCAGAGGUGAAAUCCCGAGGCUCAACUUCGGAAUUGCCUUUGAAACGGGUUGCUUGAGUCCGAGAGAGGAUGGCGGAAUUCCUAGUGUAGAGGUGAAAUUCGUAGAUAUUAGGAAGAACACCGGUGGCGAAGGCGGCCAUCUGGCUCGGUACUGACGCUGAUGCGCGAAAGCGUGGGGAGCAAACAGGG
rnacentral:rRNA from 1 species